GAGGGUAUAGUUCAGUGGUAGAACACGUGCUUAGCAUGCACAAGGUCCUGGGUUCAAUUUCCAAUACCACCA
rnacentral:tRNA from 1 species